rnacentral:rRNA from 1 species
UCAGAGCGAACGCUGGCGGCAGGCCUAACCCAUGCAAGUCGAACGAACCUUUCGGGGUUAGUGGCGGACGGGUGAGUAACACGUGGGAACGUGCCUUUAGGUUCGGAAUAACUCAGGGAAACUUGUGCUAAUACCGAAUGUGCCCUUCGGGGGAAAGAUUUAUCGCCUUUAGAGCGGCCCGCGUCUGAUUAGCUAGUUGGUUGAGGUAAUGGCUCACCAAGGCGACGAUCAGUAGCUGGUCUGAGAGGAUGAUCAGCCACAUUGGGACUGAGACACGGCCCAAACUCCUACGGGAGGCAGCAGUGGGGAAUCUUGCGCAAUGGGCGAAAGCCUGACGCAGCCAUGCCGCGUGAAUGAUGAAGGUCUUAGGAUUGUAAAAUUCUUUCACCGGGGACGAUAAUGACGGUACCCGGAGAAGAAGCCCCGGCUAACUUCGUGCCAGCAGCCGCGGUAAUACGAAGGGGGCUAGCGUUGCUCGGAAUUACUGGGCGUAAAGGGAGCGUAGGCGGACAUUUAAGUCAGGGGUGAAAUCCCGGGGCUCAACCUCGGAAUUGCCUUUGAUACUGGGUGUCUUGAGUAUGAGAGAGGUGUGUGGAACUCCGAGUGUAGAGGUGAAAUUCGUAGAUAUUCGGAAGAACACCAGUGGCGAAGGCGACACACUGGCUCAUUACUGACGCUGAGGCUCGAAAGCGUGGGGAGCAAACAGGAUUAGAUACCCUGGUAGUCCACGCCGUAAACGAUGAUUGCUAGUUGUCGGGAUGCAUGCAUUUCG